AAGAUUAAUUGUUUAGGCUUCUAACCUAAAGGUAAUGAUUUGUUCAUUUAAUCUUU
rnacentral:tRNA from 1 species